rnacentral:piRNA from 1 species
UGUACAGUUUCAGAGAUGACCACGUACAUGGU